rnacentral:lncRNA from 1 species
UGCUAACCAGGGCUAUGGGGAGUCUUCUAUUGAACUACUCCACCCUCACCUGCAUUGGGAGAAAUCACGGCAGCUGCCACAUCUCCUCACCAAAUGUCCUGGGAGGAGAAAAUAUCAAGCCAAUGGGGAUAAGGCUUAAGGCUUUGAAUGGUCCCGGAAGAAGAAAUGAAAUGGAGCUCUACGCUGGUCCUGCUGUGACUGUGCAAGGACUUAAAUCACCAAGGCACCGUGGCUGGGGCCUGUGGUUGGGCUGGAGGAAGUGUGGAGGGGGGGAGGCAGUACCAACCCUGGAAGUCAUUGUCCUGGAAUGGCUUGGCUGGCCCUGUGGAGCUGGUUGUCUUGUCUGAACACAGGCCAUCUCCCUGAAUUAAUCAUGUUGUCUGCCCCUCCUCCUCCUCCUCGUCCUCCUCCUCCUUCUCCUCCAUAAGAGAGGGCCCCCAACAGAACAUAAAGCUCUGUC